ACUGAAAAUUGAUCAAAAUUAUAGCGUUAUUAGAUUUACAGAUUCUUCAUAUUUUUAUAACAAAACCGAUACCUAAAUACGAAAUAACUAACUUGCUACAAAAUUAAAUAACAACUAAUUGUUUACUUAAUAUAAAUUAUCAUAGAAAAUUUUUUGAAAAUUAUUUGAUACAUAAUGAUAAAAUAUGUAUAGUCUAUGAACAACGAUAGAACUUCAAAAUUUAUUCCAAAAAUUUAUUCCACUUAAAUAAUUUUUGCUUUUAGAAUAUAAGUGAUAAUAUAAACUAUAUAUACUUCCGAAGAAUAGAUCGUGGAAUUUAUACAAAAUUUAUUAAGUAAUUUUCCAAAGCUAUAUUAUACAUACAAUAAAUAAUUUUUUUCGAUAUACCUCUUUGGCUGAUUUUUCGACAAAGAGUAGGCUCCAAAUGACUUAGAUGUUCCAAGCGUGGUUGAAAACUGCAGUUCACGGUUCCAAGACUGUACGGAUCGAAUGGAUCGCCGCACCUUGGAUCGUAUUCGCUGUUGCAUUGGAUAAUUAGAACAAACAUAUAACUUAAGAAGGAAGUAUUCAUAUACAAAUCAAAUCAAAUUAUAUCAUAUAUAUUUUUAUAUUAUAAAUAUCACAUAACGAAAUUACGAAACUUUGAAAUAUGAAACUAUACUAUUGAUUAAAAUAAGGAAUUGCUGUUGUAUUUCAAAUUUUAGAAUUUAUGCUUGAUUUGCAAAAUCUUGUUGAUUGGCUACGACCCUGCCGCGUUGUGACGUCACCAGGCAACCCCAUUCACCCUCCCAACGAGUCUGGUUACAGCACCAGCUGAUAUCGAGCAGGAAGACCCCGACCAAUACAUGCGAUGACCUACUGAUAUACACAUGGGAAAAGAGAUCUAUUGAGAGAAGUACAAAUUUUGCAAAUUUUUAUGAGUCUGGAUGGCAAAUAGAUUAUAUAUAUUUAUUGAUUCCAGUCUUUGAAACUAUAAUUUAUUAAUCAUUUUUAUAUGUUAUAUUAUAAUAUUAUUAUGUUAGAUUAUACUUUUUAUCUUAAUGAAUUAUUUAGUAAAAUUUUUAAAAAUCUUUUCUUUGAAUCAUAUAUAUUCUUAACAUUUUCAAAUUUUUUUUUACAAAAUUUAUUAAGAGAAGAAUAUCGAUAUAUAGAAUUUAAUAGAAAAAUAUUUAAUUAUGAAAGAAAAAAAUGAUAUAAGUAAAAAAUUUUUUUUCUUUGUCAACAUCUUCACUUUGAAUUUACCUUGAGCGCGCGAAAAUAUAGAUGAAACAGUUCCAUACCCUGACCUUGAGUACAUAAAUUUUGUACCUUCUCACUGGGUUAUUCUAAAAGCUUUUAAUAAAAAGAUUCGUUUCAUUAAAAUAUAAAAUUUCUAUUUAAUGAUAAUUAAUUAAUGCAAGAAUAUUUUACAAAGAAAUUAUUUAAUUUUUAAUCAUAUUGCAUAUUAUAUACAUUUAUACAUUUUUUUACAUUCUUUACAUUCUUUUAAUAAAAAUUUUAUGUACAAUUUUUUAUAGAUACUAAAAUGUACUCAACUAUACAAUUGAAAUCGUCGACUAUGAUAAUAAAUCUCAUUGAAGAAAGACAAGUCAGAGAUAUUGACAGAUUAAUAAAAUUUGUGUAUUAUUAUUAUUCUGACAAUUAUAGUGAAGUGUGAAAACAUUGAUCAAAAGUAUGUUAUAUAUGGGAGGCUCUUCAACGACAUUUGAAACCACACGAGACGUUCGAUCAGCAGUAAAUAGGGCAGGGCGGCUGGAUAGACGGUAGGGGUGAGUCGCGUGAGGAACUAACAAGCGCUGCGUGACAUUGCAGGUCCUUAUGUAAUCGACAGGAAAACGAAGAGAUUACCCUUUUUUGUUGAUACAAAAACAUUUCUGAUAAGAAAGAAGAAAGAAUAUCGAUAAAGACAAUAGUAUUUCUAUUCUGUAAGAUUCAAUAAUUUAGCAUUCUAGAUAUAUUUUUUAUUGAUCUUUAAAAAAUCGAUAUUAUAAAUCAAUAAAUUUUUUCCAAAAAUUAUUUACACAUUAUUUAUAUACUUAAGAAUAAGUUAUAUAAAUUUAAAAUACAAUAAUAUCUUUGGUAUUUGGUAUAUUAAAUAUAAAAUAAUAUGAUAUUUUAAAUAAUUCUUAAUAAAAAUUAUAAUUAGAUCCUUAAUAAAUAUUUAAAUGAUUCGUAUAAAUAUUUAAAAGAGAUGAUAUUCCUGUUAAUUGUCAUUUUGUUAAUUUCCUUGUAUGCUUUGUUUAUCUUGUUCAUUGUUAAAUUCAUUUUAAGGGACAAAAAUAUAGUAGCAUAGCUUACAUAAACAUGAUACAAAUUUUUAUAAUUUAUUAAUAGAUUAACAUUUAUUAAAGAUUAACAGGAGGAGCAUCCCCUUGGUCACGGUACCACACGGUGCAGGGAGAAUAGAAUUCGAAGAGUAUGAGAGAAUGCAGCGGAGAGAGGGGAGAAAGUGGGUCGCUCGAUAACCCUCGCGUGGGCCAAGUUCUAUGAACCAAAAUUCCAAAUUUUAACAAAUUGCAUCAAAAUUAACAUAAUUUUUCUUUAAGAAAAGAAGAAGAAGAAAAAGAAAAUAACCUCCUUUUGGAAAUUUUCGUCGUUUUUUCUUUUUUCACUUAUUAAAAAGAACUGCAAUUGAAUUCGACUAGCAGCUUUAAGUUCGACCAGUUACGGAAUUGUUUCUUUAAACUCACUAUUUAACGAUUGUAGCAAACUACACGCAGCAACGUAUAAUUAACGACAUUUCUAAAUCCUUCACUUUAAACGUUGCACUGUUUUCAUGAAACUGCAUUAUUGCAAACGUUUUUCAAACGUUAAUCGCAAAUUAAUUCAUCUUGUCGAAGAAUUUUCGGUUUAAACACUUUUAUUGUAAUUUUUCCCCCUUAUUUUUAUGAUUAUUAAAAUAUUAUAUAUAAAUGUUUAAAACCAAUCAUUAAAUAUUAUUAUAAAAAAAGUUGCUUCUUAUAAAAAGUCGAUAUAGUAUCAUUGUCGCAGUGCUUUAAAUUUUACAAAAGUUGAUUUUCUUAAUAGGACGGUUUUUUUUUCUUUUUAGAAAUAUGUAUAUUAAUUAUUAAAUUUAGAUAUUAUUUGUUUAAUUUUUUUAUUUUUAAUAUAAGAUCGAUGUUAAAAAUAAAAGAUUAUAUUCUUCCAACAAAAA